rnacentral:lncRNA from 1 species
GACAAAACCAGUUCUAACUGUUAUCUGCUGGUGGCACCAUUACACCAGAAGAGUUUAAACAGGGAGAUUUGAACAGAAGAAAUGACACAUCAUACCUUUCAAUCUGAUUUAAUAGAGAACUUGUUUUUUUCUAUUUCUUUAGAGCUUUGUCAGACUUCUCAGCUUGUUGCCCAUCCUUCCCAACACCUGAUAGUAGGAAACAUGUGACAGCAGCACAGUUUAGACUGAAGGUGCCAGCGUGGCCCAACCAGUCAAUAAGGAAAGGAAGAACAAACACUCAUCAAAAUGAAUAUUGAUAUUUUUACUUGAAAUGGUGGUGAUGCUGCUGGAACCUGCUGAAAAGCAAUGCCUUGAGACUGGCUGGUCUGCUCCUUUACACCCUGAGUAGUACCAGGGCAGACCAUUGCCCACACUGGCGAGCUCUGGGGAGGAGCAGGACAGGCAGAGCCACAGCACUCUAUUACAGAAGCCCCAUGACCAAGACAGAUGCCAGUAUCUGGAACCUUGGCUAAAUGAAUUAAAAGCGGACCUCUGUUCAUCUCUCAUGUACUGAUUGCUCCCUCACACAACCUUUUUAAUGGUUCUGGAUAACUGUGCUGAGAGAGUGCGUUCAUGCAAGGUUCCCAUUAAAACUCACUGGAAGUUGCCAUCUGUGGGACUGCAUAGAAUGGGGCUGAGCUGGGCAGGGGUUGAGUCCUGGCUGGCACUGAGCCUGGGAGGAAUGCUCCUUGGGUUUGUGCGGGCAUCCAGCUGAUCGCUGUCAUCUGUCACUUGUGUACCCAUGUUUGUGAUAGAUAGGCCCUAUGAAAACGAAGUUAAUUCAGUGUUUCAGGUGCAGAGUGUUAUUUUAAUUAAAAAUUGUAUUAUAAUAGUUACACAAAAGGAUUCAAAUAUCCUGCAGCUUGAUGUGAUGAAAACUAGAAGAUAUAGGUGUUGUUUAUGAGCCAUCAGAGAUUCCCACUGCCACAGUGCUUUAGUGAAAUGAAAAGAAGAGAAAAGGAGAAGCAGAGCCAUGUGCUAAUCCUUUCCUUUGUUGCUUAAGGGAAAUUUCAGUAUAAAGUACCAAUUUCCAUAUCAUUUGAAUAGCGGUUGCAGCCCAUUGGUGUUUAAAGUAAAAUGUGCAACUACUGUAAUCAGCAAAACAGAUGCAAAUGCCUUGUCUGUCUUUAAAUGCAAUCCCCUCCUUGCUGUCUCAAUUAGGUUUAGUGUGGAAAACUCAAUCAGAUAAUUAAAAACAGGAGCUAUUCUUCCACUUCUCAUAGCAAUGGCUGCUCCCAAGGCAGCUCCGGGUGCAGGAGCCCUCCCCUCCCAGGGACAGCAGUGCUCUUUUCAUCCUGCCUGUGCCCAGUAGCUCCCACAGCAAGUGUCUGCACAUCUUUAUAAAAAAGGCAACAACAAAAAUAAAUGCCAUUUAGCAGUUUGAUCCCA